GCGUCGCUGCAGGUGCACCAGCCUCGGUCAGGAUCCAGGACAAUGAACCGCGUCCUCAGGCCAAAGGAGCGACUCCGUUUCCAGUUUCGGAAGGGGUUUCUCCAGAAUACCAAACACCAGUCGGUGCCUUUCUCCUAAAACCAGCACCUCGGGGUGGGGAGCGCGUUCAGAAGUUCACGGUUGACUCAAUUACUGGGUUAAUUUGAUGUAUGCUAACUUCUAUAGCCCCGAGUACUCGAUGUGCCUGUUUUCAAUGGCCAUUUAAAAAACAGCUGGACCUCUGUAUCAAUCUAGAGUUAGUCAUCCUUCUUGGAAGGGAGCAGAGGGGCCUCUUAAAUGUUAUUGGAAGACUCAUCACUGCAUAGAACCGCGUGGCCCUACAAUAUUUAAUUAGGCAAAGACUAAACUGGAAUUCAUCUAGGCCUCCCCCAACAGCCCAGGCACAGAUUCCGGGAACCCCCGCGGACGCCCGCCGGGCCCCUGCUCGCGCCCCCAGCCCAGGGAUCCUGGCCCCUCGGAGCGGCGGGGGGGCAGGCCCGGAGCCACAGCCUCACCUCCGGUACUCCAGGUACUCGUCCACCGCCGCCGCGCCGCCGAGAGGCAACGUCAACCGCUCCAUUGCCGGUGGGGAAGCCAAAGGCUUCCCUGCGGACCAGCUGACCUCGAAGCCCGACCCGCCCCGUUCCCUCCCGGUACCGCGCCCCCUCCCGCCCGCCUCCUGAUUGGCCCGGCCUGAAGCCCGAGGAGGCCGCGCGCGGCAACUGCGCAGGACGCGCGCCCCUACUGGCUGCCGGCGCCAGGCACCAGAACCCGGAUCUCCGCAAGCGCAGCCUCGCGCCACAUGGAGUGCAGUUUGCCGCCCUCCACAAACCUUGCACCUAUUCCCCUCUCCCUUCCCUGGACCGGCGAGUCUUCUUGUAAAUUAACAAGUGACAAGGGAGUGCAGUGCCUUGCAUAUAACAGGCGCAUAGAAAAUGGCUUAUUUCUUUGUACAGCUCUUUUCGCUUAAUCCAUCUCUUGAAAUAUAAGUAGUUUUGAGAAGGUUCUGCUUUAGUUUGAGGCCUGCCUCUCCUUAACUGUCGGCCUGUUUCCAGUAUUGGCGUUUUCAAAAACUCUGAUGUAACAAUCAGUAGUCCUGGGUAUCUGGGUUCACUUUGGGGGUUGCUAAAGCUACAUGUUCUUCAAAGGAACCGAAUAACUGAUUUAAGGUGAAGCAAGUAAAAACAAUUUAGGUGAAGUUUUGUUGUUGUUUUUUAACUUUUGGAAACACUCUGCAAAAUAUAUUUAGAAGCUGAAUUACCAUGCGAUUGGUAAUUUGGCCAUAAUUUGACUUAGCACGUUGUGGAAAAGAAUAGGAAAUCUUCAGGCGAAGUCAUUAAACUCUGAAGCUCCCAGGGGAUCAGCUUUAGCGCCCUCUGUAAAGUAUCUGGGAGGGAGAAUAUGCAAACAAUAAGAAAAAUAAUUAAACUUCAGUACAGUACUUUAGUUUCAAAGUACUGUUCUACAUAUUUCAGGUCCAUAAAACAUUAUGUAAACAAAUUGUUUGGGUACCACCCACCUCCCUUCUCGGUACCCUUUCAACAAACCCCACCCUCUCCCCAAAGUCUUCCUCCUGUUCAGAGGCGUUCUUGACAGUCAGAUAAAUGAGUGAUCCUGAAAUCGGAUUCAUAUUUUAGGAAACUGAUCUCAGCUCAGUAUUCUCUCCUAUCACACGUGUGGUUUGCUGCUGUCCAUUUUACCUCUUCCACCCGACACCUCCCAGAUGGGGUCUUGCUCCGUCUCCAAGGCUGGAGUGCAGUGGCGGGAUCUCGACUCACUGCAAUCUCUGCCUCCUAGGUUCAAGCAAUUCUCCUGCCUCAGCCUCCUGAGUAGCUGGGAUUACAGGCACUAGCCACCACGCCUGGCUUUUGUGUGUGUGUGUGUGUGUGUAUUUUUAGUAGAGACAGGGUUUCACCAUGUUGGCCAGGCUGGUCUUGAUCUCCUGACCUCGUGAUUUGCCCGCCUCAGCCUCCCAAAGUGCUGGGAUUACAGGCGUGAGCCACCACGCCCAGCCCCAUUCUACCUCUAUGAGAGCCUAGUCUUGCUUUUAGGCAGCAACUGAACUAACAAAGAAAAAUAGAAGAAAAUGCCAGGCUCUGCAGGCUUACAGAAAAGUGGCAGGGGAAUGUCUGUGUAGGCAAGUACAAUUUAAAAAUCUAGAGGGAAAUGGUUAAAAUAGAUUUAGCCCAAUUGUGGACUCUUCCAGGAAGAUGCUGGAGCAGUAAACUCUUCUGGCCAAAGAAGUCAACAAAAAUAUUGAGCGUGACGAAUAAGAGUAUGGAACAAACUAGAAAAUGUUAUCCUGACCUUACAUAAAGCUGACAGAUUUGCAAAUUAAAAUACUGUAUAUGGUACUCACCUCUGCUUUAAUAAA
rnacentral:lncRNA from 1 species